GGACAAUCUGCCCUGAAGAAGAGAAUAAUCCCGGGAAACUGGGGGUAAUGCUCUAUAGUCCGGGAGGACUGGAAUGUUCUCCGGAUGAAAGAUCCGUCGCUUCAGGAUGAGUCUGCGGCCGAUUAGGUAGUUGUUGGGGUAAAAGCCCAACAAGCCUGUAAUCGGUACGGGUUGUGGGAGCAAGAGCCCGGAGAUGGAUUCUGAGACACGAAUCCAGGCCCUACGGGGCGCAGCAGGCGCGAAAACUUUACAAUGCGGGCAACCGUGAUAAGGAAACCCCGAGUGCCACCACAGGGUGGCUGUCCACCAGUGUAAACAACUGGUGAAGAAAGGGCCGGGCAAGACCGGUGCCAGCCGCCGCGGUAAUACCGGCGGCUCGAGUGGUGGCCGCUUUUACUGGGCUUAAAGGGUCCGUAGCUGGAUCUGUGUGUCCCUUGAGAAAUCCAUCGGCUUAACUGAUGGGCGUUCAGGGGAAACUGCAGUUCUAGGGACCGGGAGAGGUGAGAGGUACUGCCGGGGUAGGAGUGAAAUCCUGUAAUCCCGGUGGGACGACCUAUGGCGAAGGCAUCUCACCAGAACGGCUCCGACAGUGAGGGACGAAAGCUGGGGGAGCAAACCGGAUUAGAUACCCGGGUAGUCCCAGCUGUAAACUAUGCGCAUUAGGUGUGUCAGUGACCACGUGUCACUGAGGUGCCGAAGGGAAACCGUGAAAUGCGCCGCCUGGGGAGUACGGUCGCAAGGCUGAAACUUAAAGGAAUUGGCGGGGGAGCACCACAACGGGUGGAGCCUGCGGUUUAAUCGGACUCAACGCCGGGAAUCUCACCGGAUAAGACAGCUGAAUGAUAGUCGGGAUGAAGACUCUACUUGACUAGCUGAGAGGAGGUGCAUGGCCGUCGUCAGUUCGUACUGUGAAGCAUCCUGUUUAGUCAGGCAACGAGCGAGACCCACGCCAACAAUUGCCAGCUUGACCUUCGGGUCGAUGGGGACAUCGUUGGGACCGCCUCUGCUAA
rnacentral:rRNA from 1 species